AACUCUUAGCGGUGGAUCACUCAACUCAUGCGUCAAUGAAGAACGCAGCUAGCUGCGAGAAUUAAUGUGAAUUGCAGGACACGUUGAUCAUCAACACUUUGAACGCAUUUACGGUCCCGGGUUCCUCCCGGGGCUAAACCUGUCUGAGAGCGC